rnacentral:rRNA from 1 species
AUGAACGCUAGCGACAGGCUUAACACAUGCAAGUCGAGGGGCAGCGGGGGUAGCAAUACCCGCCGGCGACCGGCGCACGGGUGAGUAACGCGUAUGCAACUUACCUAUCAGAGGGGGAUAACCCGGCGAAAGUCGGACUAAUACCGCAUGAAGCAGGGGCCCCGCAUGGGGAUAUUUGCUAAAGAUUCAUCGCUGAUAGAUAGGCAUGCGUUCCAUUAGGCAGUUGGCGGGGUAACGGCCCACCAAACCGACGAUGGAUAGGGGUUCUGAGAGGAAGGUCCCCCACAUUGGUACUGAGACACGGACCAAACUCCUACGGGAGGCAGCAGUGAGGAAUAUUGGUCAAUGGGCGUAAGCCUGAACCAGCCAAGUCGCGUGAGGGAUGAAGGUUCUAUGGAUCGUAAACCUCUUUUAUAAGGGAAUAAAGUGCGGGACGUGUCCCGUUUUGUAUGUACCUUAUGAAUAAGGAUCGGCUAACUCCGUGCCAGCAGCCGCGGUAAUACGGAGGAUCCGAGCGUUAUCCGGAUUUAUUGGGUUUAAAGGGUGCGUAGGCGGCCUUUUAAGUCAGCGGUGAAAGUCUGUGGCUCAACCAUAGAAUUGCCGUUGAAACUGGGGGGCUUGAGUAUGUUUGAGGCAGGCGGAAUGCGUGGUGUAGCGGUGAAAUGCUUAGAUAUCACGCAGAACCCCGAUAGCGAAGGCAGCCUGCCAAGCCAUGACUGACGCUGAUGCACGAAAGCGUGGGGAUCAAACAGGAUUAGAUACCCUGGUAGUCCACGCAGUAAACGAUGAUCACUAGCUGUUUGCGAUACAGUGUAAGCGGCACAGCGAAAGCGUUAAGUGAUCCACCUGGGGAGUACGCCGGCAACGGUGAAACUCAAAGGAAUUGACGGGGGCCCGCACAAGCGGAGGAACAUGUGGUUUAAUUCGAUGAUACGCGAGGAACCUUACCCGGGUUUGAACGCAUUCGGACCGAGGUGGAAACACCUUUUCUAGCAAUAGCCGUUUGCGAGGUGCUGCAUGGUUGUCGUCAGCUCGUGCCGUGAGGUGUCGGCUUAAGUGCCAUAACGAGCGCAACCCUUGCCACUAGUUACUAACAGGUAAAGCUGAGGACUCUGGUGGGACUGCCAGCGUAAGCUGCGAGGAAGGCGGGGAUGACGUCAAAUCAGCACGGCCCUUACAUCCGGGGCGACACACGUGUUACAAUGGCGUGGACAAAGGGAAGCCACCUGGCGACAGGGAGCGAAUCCCCAAACCACGUCUCAGUUCGGAUCGGAGUCUGCAACCCGACUCCGUGAAGCUGGAUUCGCUAGUAAUCGCGCAUCAGCCAUGGCGCGGUGAAUACGUUCCCGGGCCUUGUACACACCGCCCGUCAAGCCAUGGGAGCCGGGGGUACCUGAAGUCCGUAACCGCGAGGAUCGGCCUAGGGUAAAACUGGUGACUGGGGCU